rnacentral:rRNA from 1 species
UACGAAGGGGGCAAGCGUUGUUCGGAAUCAUUGGGCGUAAAGCGCGUGUAGGCGCCUAUUAAGUCGAGUGUGAAAUCCCUGGGCUCAACCGAGGAAGUGCAUUCGAAACUAAUAGGCUAGAAGAUGGUAGAGGAUGGUGGAAUUCCAGGUGUAGAGGUGAAAUUCGUAGAUAUCUGGAGGAAUACCGGUGGCGAAGGCGGCCAUCUGGGCCAUUCUUGACGCUGAGACGCGAAAGCGUGGGUAGCAAAACAGG